rnacentral:rRNA from 1 species
UUUAACUGAAGAGUUUGAUCAUGGCUCAGAUUGAACGCUGGCGGCAGGCUUAACACAUGCAAGUCGAGCGGGGGAAGGUAGCUUGCUACUGGACCUAGCGGCGGACGGGUGAGUAAUGCUUAGGAAUCUGCCUAUUAGUGGGGGACAACAUCUCGAAAGGGAUGCUAAUACCGCAUACGUCCUACGGGAGAAAGCAGGGGAUCUUCGGACCUUGCGCUAAUAGAUGAGCCUAAGUCGGAUUAGCUAGUUGGUGGGGUAAAGGCCUACCAAGGCGACGAUCUGUAGCGGGUCUGAGAGGAUGAUCCGCCACACUGGGACUGAGACACGGCCCAGACUCCUACGGGAGGCAGCAGUGGGGAAUAUUGGACAAUGGGGGGAACCCUGAUCCAGCCAUGCCGCGUGUGUGAAGAAGGCCUUAUGGUUGUAAAGCACUUUAAGCGAGGAGGAGGCUACUUUAGUUAAUACCUAGAGAUAGUGGACGUUACUCGCAGAAUAAGCACCGGCUAACUCUGUGCCAGCAGCCGCGGUAAUACAGAGGGUGCGAGCGUUAAUCGGAUUUACUGGGCGUAAAGCGUGCGUAGGCGGCUUAUUAAGUCGGAUGUGAAAUCCCCGAGCUUAACUUGGGAAUUGCAUUCGAUACUGGUGAGCUAGAGUAUGGGAGAGGAUGGUAGAAUUCCAGGUGUAGCGGUGAAAUGCGUAGAGAUCUGGAGGAAUACCGAUGGCGAAGGCAGCCAUCUGGCCUAAUACUGACGCUGAGGUACGAAAGCAUGGGGAGCAAACAGGAUUAGAUACCCUGGUAGUCCAUGCCGUAAACGAUGUCUACUAGCCGUUGGGGCCUUUGAGGCUUUAGUGGCGCAGCUAACGCGAUAAGUAGACCGCCUGGGGAGUACGGUCGCAAGACUAAAACUCAAAUGAAUUGACGGGGGCCCGCACAAGCGGUGGAGCAUGUGGU